UCAAGCUACAAAGAGCGCAAGGGGAAUGCCUUGGCACUGGGAGCCGACGAAGGACGUAGCGAUCUACGAUAAGCCACGGUGAGCCGAAAGCAGGCAUCGACCCGUGGAUUUCCGAAUGGGGCAACCUGGCUGAAUAGAACUCAGUCAACAUACGGUGAAUAAAAUAGUCGUAUGUAGGGAACCGCCUGAACUGAAACAUCUAAGUAGGGCGAGGAAAAGAAAUCAACCGAGAUUCCGCAAGUAGUGGCGAGCGAACGCGGAAGAGGCCAAACCGAGAGUAGUAAUACUUUCGGGGUUCGGACAGCGGACGGUAUGCUGAAGGUUAGCAGAAGGACAUGGGACGGUCCACCAAAGAGAGUGAGAGUCUCGUAUGCGAAAACUGAAAGCAGCCAGCUGAAUCCAGAGUACCGCCGGACACGUGAAACCCGGUGGGAAUAUGGGGGGACCAUCCUCCAAGCCUAAAUACUACCCAGUGACCGAUAGCGUAUAGUACUGUGAAGGAAAGGUGAAAAGAACCCCGGGAGGGGAGUGAAAAGAACCUGAAACCUUGUGCUUACAAGCACACAAAGCACGUCAACGUGUGAUGUGGUACCUUUUGUAGAAUGGUCCGGCGAGUGAAUGUAACUGGCGAGGUUAAGUUCUUAAGGAACGGAGCCGAAGCGAAAGCAAGUCUGAAUAGGGCGUCUUAGUCAGUUGUAUUCGACCCGAAACCGGGUGACCUAUCCAUGUCCAGGAUGAAGUUAAGGUAAAACUUGAUGGAGGUCCGAACCCACGGUCGUUGAAAUGCCCGGGGAUGAGAUGUGGAUAGCGGAGAAAUUCCAAUCGAACCCGGAUAUAGCUGGUUCUCUCCGAAAUAGCUUUAGGGCUAGCCUCGACUGAACAUUACCGGAGGUAGAGCACUGAAUGGGCUAGGGGCCGAGAGGUUACUGAACCCUAUCAAACUUCAAAUGCCGGAAAAUGAUAGUCGGGAGUCAGACUGCGUGAGAUAAGUUUCGUAGUCGAAAGGGAAACAGCCCAGACCCACAGCUAAGGUCCCAAAGUACGGUUAAGUGGAAAAGGAUGUGGAGUUGCACAGACAACCAGGAUGUUGGCUUAGAAGCAGCCACUCAUUAAAAGAGUGCGUAAUAGCUCACUGGUCGAGUGACUCUGCGCCGAAAAUUUAACGGGGCUAAAUCGUACACCGAAGCUUGGGAAUAUCAGUUAUUCUUCAUGGACUUGCUAAGGUAAGACACCAUGGCACGGAGUGCCAUCAAAUUGUCCAGAAGGAUAAAGCGAGCUUGUGAAGAAUAACUGAUAUUGGUAGGAGAGCGUUGAAUGCGGGGUGAAGUCAGAGCGAAAGCGCUGGUGGACUGCAUUGAAGUGAGAAUGCCGGAAUGAGUAGCGAGAUUUAUGUGAGAAUCAUAAAGGCCGAAAGACUAAGGUUUCAGAAGGAAGGUUCGUCCGCUUCUGGUUAGCCGGGAGCUAAGGUGAGGCCGAAAGGCGUAGCCGAUGCACAUACGGUGGAGAUUCCGUAGCCGUCGAAAUAUUUAAGCAAAGGGACACUUAUGAAGGACAUGACCCGGGCGAUGGUAGCCCCGGGCGUAAGGGACUGAAAACAAGUAAGGAAGCAUGUUUGGAUUAAGGCGAGAAAAGCUUUGUGUAUAUAUCAGACGUCCGUACCGCAAACCGACACAGGUAGUCAGGAAGAGGAUUCUAAGGCCAACGGGAGAAGGGUAGUUAAGGAACUCGGCAAAUUGACCCCGUAACUUCGGGAUAAGGGGCGGUGCGUAAGCACCCGCAGUGAAUAGGUCCAGGCGACUGUUUAUCAAAAACACAGCUCUCUGCUAAAUCGAAAGAUGACGUAUAGGGGGUGACACCUGCCCGGUGCUGGAAGGUUAAGAGGAGGAGUGCAAGCUCCGAAUUGAAGCCCCAGUAAACGGCGGCCGUAACUAUAACGGUCCUAAGGUAGCGAAAUUCCUUGUCGGGUAAGUUCCGACCCGCACGAAUGGUGUAACGAUNUGGAACGCUGUCUCAACUGCCCACCCGGCAAAAUUGUAUUACCGGGUGAAAUGCCGGUUACCCGCGGCAAGACCGAAAGACCCCAUGGAACCUUACUGUAACUUGAUAUGGGGCCUUGGAAUUCUUGUACGGGAUAGGCGG
rnacentral:rRNA from 1 species